rnacentral:rRNA from 1 species
UACGGAGGGGGGCUAGCGUUGUUCGGAAUUACUGGGCGUAAAGCGCGCGUAGGCGGCUUUGUAAGUCAGAGGUGAAAGCCUGGAGCUCAACUCCAGAACUGCCUUUGAAACUACAUCGCUAGAAUCAUGGAGAGGUUAGUGGAAUUCCGAGUGUAGAGGUGAAAUUCGUAGAUAUUCGGAAGAACACCAGUGGCGAAGGCGACUAACUGGACAUGUAUUGACGCUGAGGUGCGAAAGCGUGGGGAGCAAACAGG